rnacentral:rRNA from 1 species
AUUGAACGCUGGCGGCAUGCUUUACACAUGCAAGUCGAACGGUAACAGGCCUUCGGGUGCUGACGAGUGGCGAACGGGUGAGUAAUGCAUCGGAACGUACCCAGAGGUGGGGGAUAACGCAGCGAAAGCUGUGCUAAUACCGCAUGUGAUCUGAGGAUGAAAGCGGGGGACCGAGCAGCAAUGGUUGGCCUCGCGCCUUUGGAGCGGCCGAUGUCGGAUUAGCUAGUUGGUGGGGUAAAGGCCUACCAAGGCGACGAUCCGUAGCUGGUCUGAGAGGACGACCAGCCACACUGGGACUGAGACACGGCCCAGACUCCUACGGGAGGCAGCAGUGGGGAAUUUUGGACAAUGGGCGCAAGCCUGAUCCAGCAAUGCCGCGUGCGGGAAGAAGGCCUUCGGGUUGUAAACCGCUUUUGGCAGGAACGAAACGGUGUCCGCUAAUACCGGGCGCUAAUGACGGUACCUGCAGAAUAAGCACCGGCUAACUACGUG